rnacentral:lncRNA from 1 species
GUCUUUGCUUGAUGUAUUUGUUCAUCGUCAAGUCAAUCAUGAAUCUCAAUCUAAUACCCUCCGCUGAAGAAACAGAGUUGUUCAUUGGUCGGUGUGUCUGUUUCGCCGUCUGUUAUGCUUAUGUUUACUUGUUAUGUAACAUGCCGACUCAUAAAUAAAGCUUUGAAUUGAAUGAAUUGAAUAUGCAUCCGUUUGUAAGUUGAUUCCGUUUGUAAGUUGAUGAAGUAGAACUAUCGGCACACUUUGC